UGGACGGCGGUGUGAUCGUCAAAGAUGCAUAACAAAGUUGCAGCAAACUGGGUACAGAAGUGGUCGCGUAUGUGAAGAAAGAUUUAGUUCUUUGUAGGAAACAUGCAACCUUAUCAGUUUAUUUUUCCUGCAACUUGGAAGCAGACAUGUGUAGCAAAUAUAUUAUCUGAAAGUUACGGCCAAGCAAAACAUGCAGAGAUGACAAACAGGGGAAGGUGGUGGCUUCUCCUUUGAUACAUCUAACCAACAAACCAAAUGCAUCCAUUGAAGAUAUAGGGAGUGCUGAUAAAGUGAUUGCUUCUCUAGGCCCUUUUGUCACUAGAAACACAUUUAAUCUAGAUGAAUUGCUCACAACUUCUGUAAAGUAUAAUUGUGUUAUUAUAUUUUUAUGGUUGAAAUGUCACUUUUUUUUUUGUCUCUAUGGAAUGAAUUGAAAGAGAGCCUUCAUGGAGUCUCUUUAAUUUUAUGUAUAAUUUCUUUUAGGUUUUUAUUUCAUAGAAUCUUAACUUGUCAAAGUAUUUAUUGUUGAUACAAUGUUGUUGAACAAUUUAUGUAAUUAGGAAUUGAAAACUCUCACUA